rnacentral:rRNA from 1 species
UACGGGGGGAGCAAGCGUUGUUCGGAUUUACUGGGCGUAAAGAGCUCGUAGGCGGCUUACUAAGUCGAGUGUGAAACCUCCAGGCUCAACCUGGAGCCUGCACUUGAUACUGGUAUGGCUUGAGUCCGGUAGGGGACCACGGAAUUCCUGGUGUAGCGGUGAAAUGCGUAGAUAUCAGGAGGAACACCGGUGGUGUAGACGGCUCACUGGACCGUAACUGACGCUGAGACACGAAAGCGUGGGUAGCAAACAGG